AGCAGUCGCCACGGUAAUACGUAGGUCCCGAGCGUUGUCCGGAUUUAUUGGGCGUAAAGGGAGCGCAGGCGGUUUAGUAAGUCUGAAGUUAAAGGCAUUGGCUCAACCAAUGUAUGCUUUGGAAACUGUUAGACUUGAGUGCAGAAGGGGAGAGUGGAAUUCCAUGUGUAGCGGUGAAAUGCGUAGAUAUAUGGAGGAACACCGGUGGCGAAAGCGGCUCUCUGGUCUGUCACUGACGCUGAGGCUCGAAAGCGUGGGUAGCGAACAGGAUUAGAUACCCGAGUAGUCCCUGUCUCUUAUACA
rnacentral:rRNA from 1 species